GACGAACGCUGGCGGCGUGCUUAACACAUGCAAGUCGAACGGAAAGGCCCUGCUAUUGUGGGGUGCUCGAGUGGCGAACGGGUGAGUAACACGUGAGUAUCCUGCCCUUGACUUUGGGAUAACUUCAGGAAACUGGGGCUAAUACCGGAUAGGAGCUCCUGCUGCAUGGUGGGGGUUGGCAAGUUUCGACGGUUGGGGAUGGACUCGCGGCUUGUCAGCUUGGUGGUGGGGUAGUGGCUUACCAAGGCUUUGACGGGUAGCCGGCCUGAGAGGGUGACCGGCCACAUUAGGACUGAGAUACGGCCCAGACUCCUACGGGAGGCAACAGUGGGGAAGAGUGCACAAUGGGCUGAAGGCUGACGCAACAACGCCGCGUGCGGGAUGACGGGCUGCGGGUUGUAAACCGCUUCCGCCUGUGACGAAGCGUUAGUGACGGUAAUGGGUAAAGAAGCACCGGCUAACUACGUG
rnacentral:rRNA from 1 species